rnacentral:rRNA from 2 species
UCAAGCGAACAAGUGCAUGUGGUGGAUGCCUUGGCGAUCACAGGCGAUGAAGGACGCGGUAGCCUGCGAAAAGCUACGGGGAGCUGGCAAACGAGCUUUGAUCCGUAGAUGUCCGAAUGGGGAAACCCGGCCCUUUUGGGUCAUCCUAGACUGAAUACAUAGGUCUAGUGAAGCGAACGCGGUGAACUGAAACAUCUAAGUAACCGCAGGAAAAGAAAUCAACCGAGAUUCCCAAAGUAGUGGCGAGCGAAAUGGGAUGAGCCUUGCACUCUUUAUUUGUAUUGUUAGCCGAACGCUCUGGAAAGUGCGGCCAUAGCAGGUGAUAGCCCUGUAGGCGAAAACAGUAUGAAAGAACUAGGUGUGCGACAAGUAGGGCGGGACACGUGAAAUCCUGUCUGAAGAUGGGGGGACCAUCCUCCAAGGCUAAAUACUCGUGAUCGACCGAUAGUGAACCAGUACCGUGAGGGAAAGGCGAAAAGAACCCCGGGAGGGGAGUGAAAUAGAUCCUGAAACCGCAUGCAUACAAACAGUCGGAGCCUCGCAAGGGGUGACGGCGUACCUUUUGUAUAAUGGGUCAGCGACUUACGUUCAGUAGCAAGCUUAACCGUAUAGGGCAGGCGUAGCGAAAGCGAGUCCGAAUAGGGCGUUCAGUUGCUGGGCGUAGACCCGAAACCAGGUGAUCUAUCCAUGGCCAGGAUGAAGGUGCGGUAACACGUACUGGAGGUCCGAACCCACUAACGUUGAAAAGUUAGGGGAUGAGCUGUGGAUAGGGGUGAAAGGCUAAACAAACCUGGAAAUAGCUGGUUCUCUCCGAAAACUAUUUAGGUAGUGCCUCGUGUCUCACCUUCGGGGGUAGAGCACUGUCAUGGUUGGGGGGUCUAUUGCAGAUUACCCCGCCAUAGCAAACUCCGAAUACCGAAGAGUGCAAUCACGGGAGACAGACAUCGGGUGCUAACGUCCGGUGUCAAGAGGGAAACAACCCAGACCGCCAGCUAAGGUCCCCAAAUAUAGCUAAGUGGGAAACGAAGUGGGAAGGCUAAAACAGUCAGGAGGUUGGCUUAGAAGCAGCCACCCUUUAAAGAAAGCGUAAUAGCUCACUGAUCGAGUCGUCCUGCGCGGAAGAUGUAACGGGGCUAAGCUAUAUACCGAAGCUGCGGAUGCGAGCUUGCUCGCAUGGUAGGAGAGCGUUCCGUAAGCCUGCGAAGGUGCCUUGUAAAGGGUGCUGGAGGUAUCGGAAGUGCGAAUGCUGACAUGAGUAGCGAUAAAGGGGGUGAAAGGCCCCCUCGCCGUAAGCCCAAGGUUUCCUACGCAACGUUCAUCGGCGUAGGGUGAGUCGGCCCCUAAGGCGAGGCAGAAAUGCGUAGCUGAUGGGAAGCAGGUCAAUAUUCCUGCACCAUUGUUAGAUGCGAUGGGGGGACGGAUCGCGGAAGGUUGUCCGGGUGUUGGAAGUCCCGGUCGCUGCAUUGGAGAAGGCGCUUAGGCAAAUCCGGGCGCAGGAUUCAAGGGUGUGGCGCGAGCUCCUUAGGGAGCGAAGCAAUUGGAAGUGGUUCCAAGAAAAGCCUCUAAGCUUCAGUCUAACGAUGACCGUACCGCAAACCGACACAGGUGGGCGAGAUGAGUAUUCUAAGGCGCUUGAGAGAACUCGGGAGAAGGAACUCGGCAAAUUGGUACCGUAACUUCGGGAUAAGGUACGCCCUUGUAGCUUGACUGGCCUGCGCCAGGAGGGUGAAGGGGUUGCAAUAAACUGGUGGCUGCGACUGUUUAAUAAAAACACAGCACUCUGCAAACACGAAAGUGGACGUAUAGGGUGUGACGCCUGCCCGGUGCCGGAAGAUUAAAUGAUGGGGUGCAAGCUCUUGAUUGAAGUCCCGGUAAACGGCGGCCGUAACUAUAACGGUCCUAAGGUAGCGAAAUUCCUUGUCGGGUAAGUUCCGACCUGCACGAAUGGCGUAACGAUGGCCACACUGUCUCCUCCCGAGACUCAGCGAAGUUGAAGUGUUUGUGAUGAUGCAAUCUACCCGCGGCUAGACGGAAAGACCCCAUGAACCUUUACUGUAGCUUUGCAUUGGACUUUGAACCGAUCUGUGUAGGAUAGGUGGGAGGCUAUGAAACCGGAACGCUAGUUUCGGUGGAGCCGUCCUUGAAAUACCACCCUGGUUUGUUUGAGGUUCUAACCUUGGCCCGUGAUCCGGGUCGGGGACAGUGCAUGGUAGGCAGUUUGACUGGGGCGGUCUCCUCCCAAAGCGUAACGGAGGAGUACGAAGGUACGCUAGGUACGGUCGGAAAUCGUGCUGAUAGUGCAAUGGCAUAAGCGUGCUUAACUGCGAGACCGACAAGUCGAGCAGGUGCGAAAGCAGGUCAUAGUGAUCCGGUGGUUCUGUAUGGAAGGGCCAUCGCUCAACGGAUAAAAGGUACUCUGGGGAUAACAGGCUGAUACCGCCCAAGAGUUCAUAUCGACGGCGGUGUUUGGCACCUCGAUGUCGGCUCAUCUCAUCCUGGGGCUGUAGCCGGUCCCAAGGGUAUGGCUGUUCGCCAUUUAAAGAGGUACGUGAGCUGGGUUUAAAACGUCGUGAGACAGUUUGGUCCCUAUCUGCCGUGGGCGUUGGAUAUUUGAAGGGGGCUGCUCCUAGUACGAGAGGACCGGAGUGGACGAACCUCUGGUGUACCGGUUGUCACGCCAGUGGCAUCGCCGGGUAGCUAUGUUCGGAAGAGAUAACCGCUGAAAGCAUCUAAGCGGGAAACUCGCCUUAAGAUGAGAUAUCCCUGGGGACUAGAUCCCCUUGAAGGGUCGUUCGAGACCAGGACGUUGAUAGGUCAGGUGUGUAAGCGCAGUAAUGCGUUCAGCUAACUGAUACUAAUUGCCCGUAAGGCUUGAUCCU